UCACAGUGCGGUUUGGCCCAGGAGGUCUGAAUUGAACAGGGACAGCCUGAGCUGAACUUCAGGGAAUGGGAGGUUCCAGUGUUUGCCUGAGGCAUAAGAAGUCAUUCAGCAAUCAGGAACUCUUACCUGGGAGCUGUCCAUCCCAGCUGUCAGCUCUUCUGGCACCGUGGGUCUAUUGAGGAGGGCCAACCCAAACAGGCUACUUCUGUUCUUCCUUCAAGAGACAUUCACAAGAUUACCUUCUAUGGAAUGCUUUUAGACUGGAAAAUGGCUGAAUCCUCUCCAUGAAGGAGCAGGUGUUCUGGGUAUGGUGGACCAAGGCCUUGCUGGGUUUAAUGAGGCAGCAUAAUGAGCAGUGGCCUCCAUGAUGACUCGGUGAAGAAGCGAUGACUUUCCCACCCCUCCCUCCAGGCAGUUCACUCUGUCCACCCAACUCCCAUCCCAGGUUGGCUCUUCUGUCUUCUCUCUCCUGUCCCCUCUCCCCUCAUGGAGGACUUUAAGUCUCUUUCCUGAAAUGUCCCAUCCCGCUUGCCUUUCAAAGUUUCCUAGAAGGCUUUAAUGGAAGCAGUGUCCAGUUGAUCACUCCAGGGAGCGUGGGAAAUCUCCCUGAGGUGAUUAUGAUUCUCCAGAUCACCAGCCAUCCCUGAUUCCUAAAAACCCAUGCUACCUGUGAAUCCCAAGAAUAAAAUACUCUCUGAUCUCCUUUUCCAA
rnacentral:lncRNA from 1 species